UUUCACUUGAACCAGCCGACACCCACAAACUUCUUCACCUCCCUCACUCCCUUCACCCAAACAAAUAAGCACCGAGGUUCAUCUCUGCUCCCCCUCUCAAUUUAGUCAUCACACACAGACAUCAUCUAACCUUCCACCUCCCUAUUUCCUUCUUGCAAUUCUGGCGGUCGGAGUUAACACCGGCAACAGCUCCGAUCACCAGCCACAAUCACCCUACAACCCAUCUCUCUCUCACUACAACUUCCUGCUCCCUCUCGCUUUGAAGACGAAAUCGAACUCGCCAGAGAUUAGAGAACGGACAUACAUCGGAGGGACUCACCGGUGCCGACCGAAGUCGUUACGUCGGAGCUCGCGGCCAUUGUUAUUUCGGAUAUCCGUUUCGUUCGUUCAGUUCUCAAUCUUUUACUCGCGCAUUAUUGUACAAGGAAUCGCAAACGCAACCACUGUGGAUGUUGACGAUGCAUGGAAUUUAGUAGGAUGCUUAGAU